UGUGGGAGCGGGCUUGCUCGCGAAGGCGCAGUGUCAGUCACCAUCUUAGGUGACUGAUCUACCGCCUUCGCGAGCAAGCCCGCUCCCACA
rnacentral:misc_RNA from 1 species